AUCUAAAUAGUUUAAUAAAAAUAUUGAUUUGUGGUAUCAAAGUUAUAAGUUUUAUUUUAGAUU
rnacentral:tRNA from 1 species